UAGCGGCGAGCGAAGCGGGAAGAGCCCAAUAUGAAAAGCCAGCUUGCUGGCGUUGUAGUUGAGCGUCUUUGGGGUGUCAGUCCGGGAAAGUGGCAUGAAAGUGCUCACCGUGGAGGGUGAAAGUCCCGUCCAUCCCGUUCAGGACACCUCGCACAAAGGCGUUUCAGACGAGUCGGGUAGCUUGGGAAUGCUGCUCUAAUUGGUGGUAAAUCUCAUCAAAGGCUAAAUACUGGUGGGAGACCGAUAGCGAACAAGUACCGUGAGGGAAAGAUGAAAAGUACUUUGAAAAGAGGGUAAAAAGAACCUGAAACCGUUACGGGGGAAGCGGAUUGCGUUGGCCUGGUGGCUACCUGUGUGUUCAGCCUUUUAUGGUGCAUUGAUACAGGUGGUUAUUCGUCGUGGCUUUUCGGUGGCUGAUUUUGAGUUGCCGAGGGGUGAGGGCUCCCCUUUUUAGGGUGAGGACGACGGAGUGACGACGCGAUACGACCCGUCUUGAAACACGGACCAAGGAGUCUAGCGCAGGUGCGAGUCAAAGGGUGUCAAAACCUGUGGGCGCAGUGAAAGCGAAUUUUUUAUUGUAAAAACGAGCAGUUUGGGGCGGCAUAGAAUCGUUGAUUCUAGGUCCGACCUUGAGCAGUUGCGCUGGGACCCGAAAGAUGGUGAACUAUGCCGGAGUAGGGCGAAGCCAGAGGAAACUCUGGUGGAGGCUCGUAGCGGUGCUGACGUGCAAAUCGCUCGUCGAACUUGGGUAUAGGGGCGAAAGACUAAUCGAACCAUCUAGUAGCUGGUUUCCUCCGAAGUUUCUCUCAGGAUAGCAGGCCGACACUUUUACGUUGUUUUGUGCGGUAAAGCGAAUGAUUAGCGCAUUCGGGGGCGUUUAGCCUUUGGGCGAUUCUCAAACUUUAAAUGCGCAAGGGUACCGGUGCUUUGUUGAGCGGUGCCGUUAAAAACGUCGGCCUUGUGGGCCACUUUUGGUAAGCAGAACUGGCGAUACGGGAUGAACCGUAAGCAUGGUUAAGGUGCCAAACUGCCCGCUUAUAGAUCCCACAAAAGGUGUUGAUUCAUCGAGACAGCAGGACGGUGGCCAUGGAAGUCGGAAUCCGCUAAGGAGUGUGUAACAACUCACCUGCCGAAUGAAUCAGCCCUGAAAAUGGAUGGCGCUUAAGCGGGCGACCGACACCAUGCCGUCUGUACAAGAGCAAUGUUUACAGAUGAGUAGGAGGACGUGGCGGUCGUGUCGAAGCAUGUGUGCGAACGCGUGUGGAACGGCCGCUAGUGCAGAUCUUGGUGGUAGUAGCAAAUAUUCAAGCGAGAUCCUUGAAGGGCGAAGCGGGGAAGGGUUCCACGCGAACAUUGAUUGGGCGUGGGUGAGUCGUUCCUAAGCCGAGUGGCAAUUGCUAAGUAGCGGCGAAAGGGAAGCAGGUUGACAUUCCUGCACACGGAUGUGGAGGCGGUGACGCUUUAAUGAGGGCGAACACGCUGGCGAUGGCGCUGGGCAGAGAUUUCUUUUCUGUUUGACCGCUGAAGCGCGCGGUGUGGAAUCCGCUUGUCGGGAGAAACACGCGCGUUCGGGCAGAGCGCCGGGGCUAUUCCGGCGUCCAGCUCGCCAUCGACGGCCCUUGAAAAUUUGCCUGCUGGAAUAGUUUAUUUUAUUCUAUAAAGAUCCACGCCGUGGCGUACCGAUAACCGCAUCAGGUCCCCAAGGUGAACAGCCUCUGCUCUAUAUGAAUAAUGCAGGUAAGGGAAGUCGGCAAAUUGGACCCGUAACUUUGGGAAAAGGGUUGGCUCUAGUGCUGCGUGGGAGUAGUUGUCGGGUGUGGGCGUUUUUGGACUUGCUGAGCGAGCGCGAGGAGGCGUUUCUUCGGAAUCUGUUCUCUUUGUGUUCAAUCGGCGAGUCUGGAUCCGCCUCGCUCGACGACGCCCACAGCAUGCAGCAGACUAGAACUGCAACGGGCAAAGGGAAUCCGACUGUUUAAUUAAAACAAAGCAUUGCGA
rnacentral:rRNA from 1 species